AGACGGAGGGGGCUAGCGUUGUUCGGAAUUACUGGGCGUAAAGCGCGCGUAGGCGGUCCGUUUAGUUAGGCGUGAAAGGCCUGGGCUCAACCCGGGAACUGCGUUUAAAACUGGCGGGCUAGAGUCCGGGAGAGGGUGGCGGAAUUCCCAGUGUAGAGGUGAAAUUCGUAGAUAUUGGGAAGAACACCAGUGGCGAAGGCGGCCACCUGGCCCGGUACUGACGCUGAGGUGCGAAAGCGUGGGGAGCAAACAGGAUUAGAAACCCCGGUAGUCC
rnacentral:rRNA from 1 species